GUGAGGAAUAUUGGACAAUGGGCGCAAGCCUGAUCCAGCCAUGCCGCGUGCAGGAAGACGCAUCUAUGGUGUGUAAACUGCUUUUGUACGGGAAGAAACACUCCCUCGUGAGGGAGCUUGACGGUACCGUAAGAAUAAGGAUCGGCUAACUCCGUGCCAGCAGCCGCGGUAAUACGGAGGAUCCAAGCGUUAUCCGGAAUCAUUGGGUUUAAAGGGUCCGUAGGCGGUUUAAUAAGUCAGUGGUGAAAGCCCAUCGCUCAACGAUGGAACGGCCAUUGAUACUGUUAGACUUGAAUUACAAGGAAGUAAUUAGAAUAUGUGGUGUAGCGGUGAAAUGCUUAGAUAUUACAUGGAAUACCAAUUGCGAAGCCAGGUUACUACUUGUGGAUUGACGCUGAUGGACGAAAGCGUGGGGAGCGAACAGGAUUAGAAACCCCUGUAGUCC
rnacentral:rRNA from 1 species